GUUUCCGUAGGUGAACCUUGCGGAAGGAUCAUUACCGAGUUGAUUCGGGCUCCGUCCCGAUCCUCCCACCCUUUGUAUACCUACCUCUGUUGCUUUGGCGGGCCGCGGUCUUCCGCGGCCGCCCCCCGAUUUUGGGGGGUGGCUAGUGCCCGCCAGAGGACUAUCAAACUCCAGUCAGUAAACGUUGCAGUCUGAAAAAAAUAUUAAAUAAACUAAAACUUUCAACAUCGGAUCUCUUGGUUCUGGCCUCGAUGAAUAACUCAACGAAUUGCCAUAAGUAAGGUGAAUUGCAGAAUUCAGUGAAUCAUGCUCUCUUUGAACCCACAUUGCGCCCCUUGGUAUUCCGGGGGGCAUGCCUGUUCGAGCGUCAUUUCAUCCCUCAAGCUCUGCUUGGUAUUGGGCCCCGUCCUUUGCGGGCGCGCCUCAAAGACCUCGGCGGUGGCGUCCCGCCUCAAGGGUAGUAACAUACACCUCGCUUCGUAGCGGGAGGUUUCGCCCGCCGGACGAACCUUCUGAAAUUUUCUCAAGGUUGACCGCUCAUCAGGUAGGGAUCCCCACUCAACUUGAGUAUA
rnacentral:rRNA from 1 species